rnacentral:rRNA from 1 species
GAACGCACAUUGCGCCCCCUGGUAUUCCGGGGGGCAUGCCUGUCCGAGCGUCAUUGCUGCCCUCAAGCCCGGCUUGUGUGUUGGGCCCCGUCCUCCGAUUCCGGGGGACGGGCCCGAAAGGCAGCGGCGGCACCGCGUGCAUAUCAAUAAGCGGAGGAAAAGAAACCAACAGGGAUUGCCCCAGUAACGGCGAGUGAAGCGGCAAGAGCUCAAAUUUGAAAGCUGGCUCCUUCGGGGUCCGCAUUGUAAUUUGCAGAGGAUGCUUCGGGAGCGGUCCCCAUCUAAGUGCCCUGGAACGGGACGUCAUAGAGGGUGAGAAUCCCGUAUGGGAUGGGGUGUCCGCGCCCGUGUGAAGCUCCUUCGACGAGUCGAGUUGUUUGGGAAUGCAGCUCUAAAUGGGUGGUAAAUUUCAUCUAAAGCUAAAUAUUGGCCGGAGACCGAUAGCGCACAAGUAGAGUGAUCGAAAGAUGAAAAGCACUUUGAAAAGAGAGUUAAAAAGCACGUGAAAUUGUUGAAAGGGAAGCGCUUGCGACCAGACUCGCUCGCGGGGUUCAGCCGGCAUUCGUGCCGGUGUAUUUCCCCGCGGGCGGGCCAGCGUCGGUUUGGGCGGUCGGUCAAAGGCCCUCGGAAGGUAACGCCCCUAGGGGCGUCUUAUAGCCGAGGGUGCAAUGCGACCUGCCUAGACCGAGGAACGCGCUUCGGCUCGGACGCUGGCAUAAUGGUCGUAAGCGACCCGUCUUGAAACACGGACC